UCUCUCUUUGCUCUCUGCUCUCUGCUUUCAGCCUGACCGCCUCUCUCACUUCUCUGGCCUCUCGCUACGGGAGUACCAGCUACUGCCCCUCUCGGCCUCUCGUCUCCUCUCAGGACUCAGGAGUCCUCGGUCCUCUGUCCUCUGUGGCUCUAUUCCUGUCUGUGCCGAACGGUCACACCUCGCCACUCGCCACUCAGCAGCCCAGCAGGAGUCCUCAGUGACAUGGAGGAGAGGUAAAUGUUGCAGAUCAUACAGGGCAAACAGCAUUACACUGGAGUGCAGUUUGGGGUGCAGUUCCGGUUGCAGAGCUUUUACUCUAAGAGGGUGCCUGGGUAAAUGUGGUUGAUACAUAUGCUAAUCAGACUUCGAAGCCACUGUAGACACUGGAAUACUUAAGAUAUCUUGAGCCAUGGUAGCAAGUUGAGGAUACCGAAAUUGAUUUCCCUUCAAAAAAUGCAAAAUAUUCAAGUCUACUUUUCUGUCAAUUCUUUGCUCAUCUAAAUAUAUUUCAAGCUCAGACUUGUUAGUGGACUGCAUCAGAGUUAGCUCUCCAUUGAAGGAUUUCAUUGGACUUCUGGAUGCGUGGCUUUCCGACUCACUAAAUCUUCGUAGACUGGGUACUGACCUUGUGUGAGGCACUUGGGUGAGAUUGUUCUUCUCUACCUUUGUACAAUGGAUUCUGAGUUAUUGGAUUGGACGCAUCGGUGACCAUCCCCCGAUGUAGAUACACACUGUAUUGAACUGGGUAAACAAACAUAUGUGUUGAUUUACUUCCUGCCUUAGUCUUCCGCAUUACACUA